CGGAAGGGGCGGGGCCGAGGGGCCGGUGGCGGCCGUGUUGCGGAGCCGCGGGUGGGGCCGAUGGGAGCGGUCGGCGGUGACAGCGCGGCGUGAGGGGGAGGCGCGGCCGCCCCUGGCGCCAGUAGGUGAGCGUGGGGACGCGGGUUGUGCCGUGUCCCCAUCACACACGCACACGGCGCGCCGUGACCGUCUGUCCCACCCCAGCGGCUGUCGCGACAGCUGAAGACGUCUGUGGGAUCGCGACCCUUAGUGGGAGAUGGAGGUGGGAGGUAAACGUCUCGCCCAGGUUUCCCGUGCGGGCUUUCUCGUGGAGCAUGCCUGAGAGGGAGGGAGACAAAGCCGUCCCGGGUCAUCCUUUUCGUGAGACUGUCGCGACAUGAUGUGUCACAGGUUGAUUCUACUUUAGGAUAAUGGCAGGAAAAGUAAAGUGGGUAACUGACAUAGAAAAAUCUGUUCUAAUAAACAACUUUGAAAAAAGAGGCUGGAUUCAGGUGGCAGAAAAUGAAGACUGGAAUUUUUAUUGGAUGAGUGUACAGACAAUCAGAAAUGUUUUCAGUGUGGAAACUGGUUACCGCCUCUCCGAUGACCAAAUUGUUAAUCAUUUCCCAAAUCACUAUGAACUGACCAGAAAAGAUUUGAUGGUAAAGAAUAUUAAGCGAUAUAGGAAAGAACUUGAGAAAGAAGGAAGUCCUCUUGCAGAAAAGGAUGAAAAUGGGAAAUACAUUUAUUUGGAUUUUGUUCCAGUUACUUUUAUGCUCCCAGCUGAUUAUAAUCUCUUUGUUGAAGAAUUCAGAAAAAAUCCCUCCAGCACUUGGAUUAUGAAACCUUGUGGCAAAGCUCAAGGAAAAGGAAUAUUUCUGAUCAAUAAACUCUCUCAAAUUAAAAAAUGGUCUCGAGAUAGCAAAACAUCUUCGUUUGUAUCUCAGUCUUCCAAAGAAGCCUAUGUGAUUUCUCUCUAUAUCAACAAUCCAUUACUUAUUGGUGGAAAGAAAUUUGAUCUUCGCCUGUAUGUUUUAGUAUCUACAUAUCGUCCACUGAGAUGCUACAUGUAUAAGCUUGGAUUUUGCCGGUUUUGCACAGUAAAAUAUACACCAAGUACAAGUGAAUUGGAUAACAUGUUUGUACAUCUUACAAAUGUUGCCAUUCAGAAACACGGGGAUGAUUACAAUCAUAUCCAUGGAGGCAAGUGGGCAGUGAGUAACUUACGCCUGUAUCUGGAGAGCACCCGUGGAAAGGAAGUCACAAACAAAUUAUUUGAUGAAAUUCACUGGAUAAUUGUGCAGUCACUGAAGGCUGUUGCGCCUGUAAUGAAUAAUGAUAAACACUGCUUUGAGUGUUAUGGAUAUGACAUUAUAAUUGAUGACAAACUUAAACCAUGGCUAAUUGAGGUUAAUGCUUCCCCUUCUCUUACUUCCAGUACUGCUAAUGAUCGCAUCUUGAAGUAUAAUCUUAUUAAUGACACACUUAACAUUGCUGUGCCUAAUGGGGAAAUUCCAGACUGUAAAUGGAAUAAAUCUCCACCAAAAGAGGUUCUUGGCAAUUAUGAAAUCUUAUAUGAUGAAGAGAUGGCACAAAGCGAUGGGCCUGACCGAGACUUGCGAAGUCGUUCUGGGCAAUCCACUGGGGUCAAAGGAAAUCGUGCAAGAGAUUCAGGGAAGCCUGUAUUAACCACCUGGAAGUGAUAACAGAAAAAACAUCUGGUAGGAAGACUUGAACAAAAAUGCAAGUUUUAGACAGAUUCCUGUAUUUUGCCGCACUGUAUGUGGGAAACACUAAAAGUGGACAAUACAGCCUUUGAAAAGGAGUGAAAUGUGUUAAAACCAGGAACUAUACUAGAUAUACAUGGACCUGAUGAUUAUUACAAUAAUAUAUAGAUGAUGUAUGUAUAUAUAAUUAUUUUAUAUAUAGAUACACUUUGUAUAAACUAAUGUUCUCUCAGUAAUUGUUAAAAAAAUUUGUCAUAACGAUGACAACUCAAAAUAUGCAUUCUGAAGGAAACCCCUUGGUAUUCUGGAUAUAAUUUAUUGCCCUUAGUAGCUUAUCUCUAUUUCUUUGUAAUAAAUGACCAGUGGUUUCUGUAAAGGGGUAGUAGUGGUGAGUGUUAAUAUUUUCACAGUGAUGGUUCAGGUUCUUGCUAGUAAAAGAAGAGAGAUUGGAAAAAAUAGCAAUAUGUGGACUUGAGGCUCUUGUCAGUUAAUGCAGCUAAUGAUUAAUAAUCGGUAUUAAGAAACUGAAAAGCAACUCUAUAUGCUGAGGGAUUUUGGGUUUAUUUCCUUUAAGUGCUUUGAGCUCUUUAAAGGUAGAGGUGUCAUGGAUCAAGGAAGUGUUUUAAAUAUUGAUGCAUUAUUUCACUAGCUAUUAAUUUUUCUUUCAAGAUAAUGCAUUUCCACGGAAAAACAGACAGAACAACUACAUACUUUCAUAAAUCUCAUUGCCUGAAGCUGAUGAUGAAUCCUUAUUUGCAUCAGAACCUCUUUGUGUAUUUAUUUGUGUAUAGCUGAGUCAAGUUGGAGGCCUGUGGCCAAUGUGGCUCCACAGGGGUCGGCUCUGGGGCCAGUCUUGUUCAACGUCUUCAUCAAUGACCUGAACAAGGGAACAGAGUUGUACCCUCAGCAAGUUUGCUGAUGACACCAAACUGGGAGGACUGGCUGAUUCCCCAGAAGGCUAUGCUGCCAUUCAGUGGGACCUCAACCAGCUUGAGAGCUGGGAAGAGAGGAACCUCAUGAGAUUCAACAAGGACAAGUGCAGAGUCCUGCAUUAGAGGAAGAAUGACCUCAUGCACCUGUACAGGCUGGGGGUUGACCUACUGCUUUGCAGAGAGAGACCUGGGAGUCCUGGUUGAUAAUAAACUAAAUAUGAGCCAGCAAUGUGCCUUCUUGGCCAAGAAGGCCAGUGGCAUCCUGGGAUGCAUCAAGAAGAGUGUGGCCAGCAGUUCAAGGGAGCUUCUUCUCCCCCUUUGCUCUGGUGAGGCCUCAUCUGGAGUCCUGUGUCCAGUUCUGGGCUCCCCAGCUCAUGAGGGACAGGGAACUUCUGGAGAGUCCAGCACAGGCCCACCAAAAUGAUCAGGAGACUGGAACAUCUUUGUCAUGAGAAAAGGCUGCAGGAUCUGGGGCUGUUCAGCCUGGAGAAGAGGAGACUGAGGGGGAACCUCAUUAAUACUUACAAGUACCUGAAAAGUGAGUAUCAAGAGGAUGUUGCAACACUUUUUUUCUGCAGUGUCCAGUGAUAGGACUAGGGGUAAUGGACAUAAGUUGGAACACAAAAAAUUCCACUUAAACAUGAGGGAAAACUUUUUUCCUGUGUGGGAGCCCUGGCACAGGCUGCCCAGGGACGGUGUGGAGUUUCCUUCUCUGGAGGUUUUCCAGAAUCACCUGGACGCGUUCCUGUGUGACCUGAUCUAGGUGGACCUGCUUUAGCAGGGGUGCUGGAUUCGAUCUUUAGAGGUCCCUUCCAGCCCCUACCAUUCUGUGAUUCUUUGUAUAUUAAAAGAUAUUAAAACUCGGGUGGAUGCUCUUCAAAAUUAAGGUAGCUUUUUUUGCUGGAGCCUGAAACUGCAAAAGAUUACAGACUCUUCUAACUGCGAGAGUGAUUGCAAGCAGACAAUCUCUUAGUUCUGAGUAACUAACCGUGGCCCUAGGCCAGUCAUCCUCCAAAUGUAUCUAACUGUAAAGAAACUGUUUUGCCUUUCAGUGGAGCCAAAUAAAUCAGAAAUAACAGUUCUCAAAAGUUCUGACUUCAGCUAGUGUAAUAACUUGCCAGCCAGAGCUAAAAUAAAUGUGCAUCUCAGUCCUAGAAUACUGCUCUUCAUAUGCUCAAGUGUUCACUGGCAUAAUGACAGUAUUGUAUGAAGAAUUAAAUAGACAGGCUCUGGACAGCUACAGGAAUUGUUAUAACGACAUCAGUGUAGAAGGAGCUUAUUGCUUGAGUUGAAUGGUGGGGCUUGCUUCCUGGGCACUAACCUUUCUCCCUAUUAAUUCUUUGACAUGGAAGGAAUUAAUAAGAUUCCCACAGAAUAGCUUCUUUAUAUGGCUGUAGGAACUUAAUUAAAAUAGAAGAAACUGUAUUAUCCCUAAAGCUACUUUGUUGCUGUUGGCUUUACAAUAGGACUUCUGCCUAAAAUGUCCCCAUUGCCUGAUUCACUUCCUGCUAUAACCUUAGGAAAACAAUAGAUUUCACAGAAGAUAUAUAGUCUUGCAUUUCAGCAGCAGAACCUGUCAGGCAGAGCUCAUUUAUCUGUAGAAAAGGAAGGACUUUACUUGGUCAUUACAAACUUGUGCUGUUUCUGAAGUAGCUACUGUUCAGUUUAUUUAGGUGGAAAAAACCAGAAGAAAACUUCCAUUAAAGAUUUAUUAAAAUAACUCCCUUGAGCCUUCAGGUCAGUAGGAAGGACUCUGUGCCAUCUGGCCUGUACAUAUCAAAAUGUAACACUAGUGUCCAUAGUUAGUUGUGCUAAUCUGUAGGGUUCCUUAACAAAAACAGACUGGAACCUUAUUAUAUUAUCUACAGAAAAUAAAUGUAUAUAGCUGGGAGAA